rnacentral:rRNA from 2 species
UCCACGCCGUAAACGAUGUCAACUAGCCGUUGGAAGCCUUGAGCUUUUAGUGGCGCAGCUAACGCAUUAAGUUGACCGCCUGGGGAGUACGGCCGCAAGGUUAAAACUCAAAUGAAUUGACGGGGGCCCGCACAAGCGGUGGAGCAUGUGGUUUAAUUCGAUGCAACGCGAAGAACCUUACCUGGUCUUGACAUCCACAGAACUUUCCAGAGAUGGAUUGGUGCCUUCGGGAACUGUGAGACAGGUGCUGCAUGGCUGUCGUCAGCUCGUGUUGUGAAAUGUUGGGUUAAGUCCCGCAACGAGCGCAACCCUUAUCCUUUGUUGCCAGCGGUCCGGCCGGGAACUCAAAGGAGACUGCCAGUGAUAAACUGGAGGGAGGUGGGGAUGACGUCAAGUCAUCAUGGCCCUUACGACCAGGGCUACACACGUGCUACAAUGGCGCAUACAAAGAGAAGCGACCUCGCGAGAGCAAGCGGACCUCAUAAAGUGCGUCGUAGUCCGGAUUGGAGUCUGCAACUCGACUCCAUGAAGUCGGAAUCGCUAGUAAUCGUGGAUCAGAAUGCCACGGUGAAUACGUUCCCGGGCCUUGUACACACCGCCCGUCACACCAUGGGAGUGGGUUGCAAAAGAAGUAGGUAGCUUAACCUUCGGGAGGGCGCUUACCACUUUGUGAUUCAUGACUGGG